rnacentral:rRNA from 1 species
AUUGAACGCUGGCGGCAGGCCUAACACAUGCAAGUCGAACGGAGUGGCGGACGGGUGAGUAAUGCAUAGGAAUCUGCCUAGUAGUGGGGGAUAACGUCCGGAAAGGGGAGCUAAUACCGCAUACUAUCAGAUGAGCCUAUGUCGGAUUAGCUAGUUGGUGGGGUAAAGGCCUACCAAGGCGACGAUCCGUAACUGGUCUGAGAGGAUGAUCAGUCACACGGGAACUGAGACACGGUCCAGACUCCUACGGGAGGCAGCAGUGGGGAAUAUUGGACAAUGGGCGAAAGCCUGAUCCAGCCAUGCCGCGUGUGUGAAGAAGGCCUUCGGGUUGUAAAGCACUUUUAGUUGGGAAGCGGUACCAGCAGAAUAAGCACCGGCUAACUUCGUGCCAGCAGCCGCGGUAAUUC